CGGGCUUCGAGCCCGUUUCAGACAACACUUCCUUCUAGGGAUUUGAGAAACAAGAGCGAUAUAGGAAUUAAUCGAGCGACUGUAGGGCUUGUCCAUCACUCCGAUCCCUCGCUCCACAUUGGCGCACAAAUCCUGCAUCAUUCGAGCCCGUUUCUGCUCCAACUUUUCGUUUUUGUUCUUCAGGCGAAGUACGAUUACAUUGGUUAUCAAUGGAGCUUAUCAAUGUAAUAGAACAAAGGUUGAUGGCCAUGAGCUCAGGAGUAUGUUUCUUCUAAGUAUGAUCAACCAGCAGACACGUUUUAAAAACUUUGAGGGAAAAUCCAAAAGAGAAAACCAGCGGUGUUUUUGGCCACGAAGCUUAUUUUUUGCCAUGGUAUGAGAGACGCACAUAAGAAAAGUUGGAAGUAUGAAAGUGGUAGACAACGGAACCAGAUCACGAAGGAUAUGAGGUGAUUUUAUUGGUAUAUGGUGAGUUUUAUUUUCCUUUGAAGUAAAAUGUAUAUAUAUUUAUGGCCUUCCUUCAUAAGAGGCUGUUGCUGCAUAUCAUGAGCCUUUUAACAUUAUUUAAAAGUAUGCCAUUGAGGAAGCAAUGCAGGGGUAGACUCUGGAUAGUUCGUGGACGCUCUGUUAUUGAAUCCUUCACUUCAUGUUCUUCGUAGUGGCAGUGAAGACGCAAGAGAAGAGCAUUGCAUCACGUAGGAUCUGCCCACUUUGCAUUUGAUUCAGGUAUAACUGAAAAUCUAAUUGUUACAGAAAUACAAUACUACACGUGAGGUGGGGGUGGGGUUAUUGUAACGGCACAAGCCCCAUCGCUACAAAUAUUGUCAUAUUUGGCUUU